AUGCAGUCCCUACUCAACAACAUCACUUACUCUCAUCCAGACCAAACAAAAAACGCAAACAUAAGAAGUGAAAAACCACUGGCGACACCUCCCUCUGCCCACGACUCCGAUUCUGCAUCUCCCAGAAAUCACCGACGAACCACUCCGGUCUUCCAAUUGCACCGUCAUCAACUACACACAAGAAUUACCACCACAAAGCUAUCAAACUCAACAGUUUUAAACUCACCGGAGGCACAAUCCAAAUCGAUGUUGCCACCUCGACGAUACUAUUUUUUUCUCUUUUCGAUUCGUGCUUCAAACCGUAUUGUUUCAACUUUUUUUCCUUCUAAUUAA